AGAUUAAGUUAUUAAGGGCGCACGGUGGAUGCCUUGGCACUAGAAGCCGAUGAAGGACGUUACUAACGACGAUAUGCUUUGGGGAGCUGUAAGUAAGCUUUGAUCCAGAGAUUUCCGAAUGGGGAAACCCAGCAUGAGUUAUGUCAUGUUAUCGAUAUGUGAAUACAUAGCAUAUCAGAAGGCACACCCGGAGAACUGAAACAUCUUAGUACCCGGAGGAAGAGAAAGAAAAUUCGAUUCCCUUAGUAGCGGCGAGCGAAACGGGAAGAGCCCAAACCAACAAGCUUGCUUGUUGGGGUUGUAGGACACUCUAUACGGAGUUACAAAGGACGACAUUAGACGAAUCAUCUGGAAAGAUGAAUCAAAGAAGGUAAUAAUCCUGUAGUCGAAAAUGUUGUCUCUCUUGAGUGGAUCCUGAGUACGACGGAGCACGUGAAAUUCCGUCGGAAUCUGGGAGGACCAUCUCCUAAGGCUAAAUACUCUCUAGUGACCGAUAGUGAACCAGUACCGUGAGGGAAAGGUGAAAAGCACCCCGGAAGGGGAGUGAAAUAGAACCUGAAACCGUGUGCUUACAAGUAGUCAGAGCCCGUUAAUGGGUGAUGGCGUGCCUUUUGUAGAAUGAACCGGCGAGUUACGAUUUGAUGCAAGGUUAAGCAGUAAAUGUGGAGCCGUAGCGAAAGCGAGUCUGAAUAGGGCGUUUAGUAUUUGGUCGUAGACCCGAAACCAGGUGAUCUACCCUUGGUCAGGUUGAAGUUCAGGUAACACUGAAUGGAGGACCGAACCGACUUACGUUGAAAAGUGAGCGGAUGAACUGAGGGUAGCGGAGAAAUUCCAAUCGAACCUGGAGAUAGCUGGUUCUCUCCGAAAUAGCUUUAGGGCUAGCCUCAAGUGAUGAUUAUUGGAGGUAGAGCACUGUUUGGACGAGGGGCCCCUCUCGGGUUACCGAAUUCAGACAAACUCCGAAUGCCAAUUAAUUUAACUUGGGAGUCAGAACAUGGGUGAUAAGGUCCGUGUUCGAAAGGGAAACAGCCCAGACCACCAGCUAAGGUCCCAAAAUAUAUGUUAAGUGGAAAAGGAUGUGGCGUUGCCCAGACAACUAGGAUGUUGGCUUAGAAGCAGCCAUCAUUUAAAGAGUGCGUAAUAGCUCACUAGUCGAGUGACACUGCGCCGAAAAUGUACCGGGGCUAAACAUAUUACCGAAGCUGUGGAUUGUCCUUUGGACAAUGGUAGGAGAGCGUUCUAAGGGCGUUGAAGCAUGAUCGUAAGGACAUGUGGAGCGCUUAGAAGUGAGAAUGCCGGUGUGAGUAGCGAAAGACGGGUGAGAAUCCCGUCCACCGAUUGACUAAGGUUUCCAGAGGAAGGCUCGUCCGCUCUGGGUUAGUCGGGUCCUAAGCUGAGGCCGACAGGCGUAGGCGAUGGAUAACAGGUUGAUAUUCCUGUACCACCUAUAAUCGUUUUAAUCGAUGGGGGGACGCAGUAGGAUAGGCGAAGCGUGCGAUUGGAUUGCACGUCUAAGCAGUAAGGCUGAGUAUUAGGCAAAUCCGGUACUCGUUAAGGCUGAGCUGUGAUGGGGAGAAGACAUUGAGUCUUCGAGUCGUUGAUUUCACACUGCCGAGAAAAGCCUCUAGAUAGAAAAUAGGUGCCCGUACCGCAAACCGACACAGGUAGUCAAGAUGAGAAUUCUAAGGUGAGCGAGCGAACUCUCGUUAAGGAACUCGGCAAAAUGACCCCGUAACUUCGGGAGAAGGGGUGCUCUUUAGGGUUAACGCCCAGAAGAGCCGCAGUGAAUAGGCCCAAGCGACUGUUUAUCAAAAACACAGGUCUCUGCUAAACCGUAAGGUGAUGUAUAGGGGCUGACGCCUGCCCGGUGCUGGAAGGUUAAGAGGAGUGGUUAGCUUCUGCGAAGCUACGAAUCGAAGCCCCAGUAAACGGCGGCCGUAACUAUAACGGUCCUAAGGUAGCGAAAUUCCUUGUCGGGUAAGUUCCGACCCGCACGAAAGGCGUAACGAUUUGGGCACUGUCUCAACGAGAGACUCGGUGAAAUCAUAGUACCUGUGAAGAUGCAGGUUACCCGCGACAGGACGGAAAGACCCCGUGGAGCUUUACUGUAGCCUGAUAUUGAAAUUCGGCACAGCUUGUACAGGAUAGGUAGGAGCCUUUGAAACGUGAGCGCUAGCUUACGUGGAGGCGCUGGUGGGAUACUACCCUAGCUGUGUUGGCUUUCUAACCCGCACCACUUAUCGUGGUGGGAGACAGUGUC
rnacentral:rRNA from 1 species